GCCUUCGUGGUGUAACUGGAAGCACUCUCGACUAGUAUUCGGGAAGUCUGAGUUCGAAUCCCGGCGAGGGCA